rnacentral:rRNA from 1 species
GAUGAACGCUGACAGCAUGCUUAACACAUGCAAGUCUACUUGAAUUUGGGUUUUUUAACUUAGAUUUGGGUGGCGGACGGGUUAGUAACGCGUAAAGAACUUGCCUCACAGCUAGGGACAACAUUUGGAAACGAAUGCUAAUACCUGAUAUUAUGAUUAUAAGGCAUCUUAGAAUUAUGAAAGCUAUAUGCGCUGUGAGAGAGCUUUGCGUCCCAUUAGCUAGUUGGGGGGGUAACGGCUCACCAAGGCGAUGAUGGGUAGCCGGCCUGAGAGGGUGAACGCCCACAAGGGGACUGAGACACGGCCCUUACUCCUACGGGAGGCAGCAGUGGGGAAUAUUGGACAAUGGAGCAAGAGUCUGAUCCAGCAAUUCUGUGUGCACGAUGACGUUUUUGGGAAUGUAAAGUGUUUUCAGUCGGGAAGAAAAAAAUGACGGUACCAACAGAAGAAGUAACGGCUAAAUACGUG